UCCACCAAGAAAGUAAACUGCUUAAAAAGUAUAGCAAAGAAUUCGGGACCUCACAAGCACUUAACCAGAAAUUUAGGGACCUUACAAACCCAGAGAAUAGUCUCAGAAUCACUUUCUAAAUCCAAAAGCAGUCUCCUUUACUACAAUACCGAUGAAUAUUAGACAGAAAUUUACAGCAGUUUUGGUUUCAACUCAUCCUAUGGACAACCCCAAAAGAAGUCAAAAGUCACUUAAUACAUCAUCAACCAAAAUACUGAUUCAACAAAUAUUCCAUUUUUUCCCCAACGCGCAGCAUAUAUGACCCACACAAACAGAAGGAGCCAGCGAAUACCCAGAAACUGCAAUCACAACGACACAAAACGAAUAAAAAAAUAUAAGCUGUGCAGAUAAGUAGAAAUUUCUAAUUCGCAAUAAAUAAAUAAAUCAUAAAGGAAACGGAGGCUUCCUUCAUUGAAGGGAGAGUUACCAAAACUACAUUUCCG
rnacentral:lncRNA from 1 species